rnacentral:rRNA from 1 species
UACGGAGGGUGCGAGCGUUGUCCGGAAUCACUGGGCGUAAAGGGCGCGUAGGCGGUCCGGUAAGCGUGUGGUGAAAGCCCGGGGCUCAACCCCGGGUCGGCCGUGCGAACUGCGGGACUGGAGCACUGUAGAGGCAGGCGGAAUUCCGGGAGUAGCGGUGGAAUGCGUAGAGAUCCGGAAGAACACCGGUGGCGAAGGCGGCCUGCUGGGCAGUAGCUGACGCUGAGGCGCGACAGCGUGGGGAGCAAACAGG